GAUUUGCAUAUUAGGGUUUUAUUAUAUAGGAUAGGCACAUAGUAGUUAUCGUAUGAAUAUAUAUCCUCCUUUCAUCCACAUGCUAAAUUGGAAUUAAGUUUGGGUUUUUAAAUAUUUAAUAUCUUAAAUAAUAAAUAUUUUCAGACGGAUAAGUAUAUAGAAUAAUGCAAUUGAGUAGGCAGAAUAGUGGGCCCCAAAGUCUUCAAUGUCCUAAUCCCCAAGACUUACAGUUACAUGGCAAGUUGAAUUAAGGUUACAAACUACCUGACUUUAAACCAGGAAAAUUAUGCUUGGUUACCCAGGUAGGGCCAAUGUAAUCACAAGAGUCCUUAAAAGUGGAAGAAAAAGACAGAAAAAGAGAAUUAAAAAGAAAAAAGCUGUGAUGGUGAAGAAGGGUCUGAGAGAUGCUAUGUUGCUGGCUUUGAAGAUGGAAGAAGGGACAUGGGCCAAGGAAUGUGAGCAGCCUCCAGGAGCUGGAAAAGGCAAGGAAAUGGACUCUCUCCAAGAGCCUCCAGGAGGGACUCAUUGCUGCCAGCCCCUCAAUUUUAACAGUGAGACCUGGGUCAGACUGAACUACAGAACUGUUUCAAAGCACAUGUGACUUAUUCUCAACACAUUCCUGAAAUCAGCAGCAACUUCUGACAGUCCGCGUCUUCUCUACACACCAGUUCAACAGGGUCACAACCAUUGUCCCAAAAGCUCCAUUGCAGGGGUUCAGAUCCAUCUGUCAUUCAUGAAGACGUUUGACACUCUCAGUUUGAAGACUGCCAUCUAUGAACAAGGAGGAUGGCUCUCUCCAGACACCAACUCUGCUGAUGCCCCUGAUCUUGGACUUCCCAGCCUCCAUAAAUCUCGUAGUGAAGAUGUUUUAUGAAGAUGCUGAGCAGUCCUGCCUGAGGGGAGAUUGUGAAUACAUUCCAUCUGCAGAAAGUUUGCAGGAGCCUUACCUUUGAUCAAAAGCUGAGAGCUUGCUCCUUCAAAAUCCAGCAGGUGGCACAAGGAGGCACUUGUGCAGGACAAGUACUGGCCUUGGAGAGCUGUACCUUUCUGCUUCCAGAGGGCCUUCAUCUUGGAGAUGUCUUCCUCGUCUGUUGCAUGGUCACUCUGAAAGCAGCUGUGCAGACCGUGAUUAUUUGGAUUUUCCUGACGGAGAAAGGUGUGGCCUAGAAGGCAGUGGAAGGUGAGACUAGUCUUCCACAAAUAUUUCCUCCUAAAUAUUCCACUCAUCUGAAGCUAGUUAACUAUAUUAAGCUACUUCAAUUCCAAAUUGCCCUUACAUAAAGUAAAUACCACUGGCUCUAAAUAUAUUUUUUAUAGAAACAUAUAGUCCAAAAUAUAGCAGAAGGUGUGUCUUCAUUAUUACUCGUGGCAGCUUGGCAGUCACUGGGUAGCAGAGACUGAAGCAGUGGGGCACUGGGACCUGAGCUGCGGGGGAGAGUUGUGCUACUGAUCUGCAGUGUUUGCUAAUUUCCAUAAAUGUCGCCACCAUGGCCAAUGUCAAGUACUAAGAUGAAGUUAGUUUACACAGAAUGGGGAAGAGAUGAGCACAAUCUCCUGUUCAGGUCAAAAAUCAGAGAAUGGGAAUGAAAAAUAAGAGAAAGAAUGGACUACUAGACAAACCCAAACUGGAUGACCUUGAAUAAAGAAGAGUUGGCUGACUUUAUCAUUUUGCCCACCUGAGCACAACAUAUAACAGAAAACCAUUCUAUCACCUGCCACCAGCUGGACCCAGUGGAUCCUGGUGCUGCCAGAAAUCUGAAUCGUGCACUGCUUACUCACUCUGUGCUCCACUCCCAUUACCAAACCCUGCUUUCUGUUCAGCUUGGCCCGUCUACUACUGCAUUGCUGCCCACACAAGUAUCCGACUUCCUGAAAGCAUACCCACAGCCUCCCCACCACAAGUCAGGUUCCCACGCCAUCCUCUCUACCCAUCCAGUUCAGCUCAAGUUUUAAGGGAGAAGACAAAGGAGUACACAAACUAUUAUCAGAAAACAGAGAGACAGCUUAUUCGGGGCUGAGUCAUCAGUCAGUGAAAGUAAUCACCGUGAAGGACAUCUUUGUAGCCCACCGGGACAGCUGUGCUCAACAGAUGGCAGAGGACCAGAACUCAAGAGUGGUUGGGCAGAAGCGUCAACACUCAUGGGUGCAGACUGAUGGCCAGUAGAUAUUUUGCCCCUCAUUUUUCAGGACCACGCAAGUGCCUGGAUUCCUGUAGGAUACAGCUAAAGGGAGGAAAAGUCCCAAUGACGAUUGCUACCAGUUGUGCCAGCC